rnacentral:rRNA from 1 species
CCUACGGGAGGCAGCAGUGAGGAAUAUUGGUCAAUGGGCGGAAGCCUGAACCAGCCAAGUCGCGUGAGGGAAUAAGGCCCUACGGGUCGUAAACCUCUUUUGCCGGGGAGCAAGGGCGGGGACGUGUCCCGGCCCGGAGAGUACCCGGAGAAACAGCAUCGGCUAACUCCGUGCCAGCAGCCGCGGUAAUACGGAGGAUGCGAGCGUUAUCCGGCUUGAUUGGGUUUAAAGGGUGCGUAGGCGGGCUUUUAAGUCAGCGGUAAAAAUUCGGGGCUCAACCCCGUCCGGCCGUUGAAACUGGGGGCCUUGAGUGGGCGAGAAGUAGGCGGAAUGCGUGGUGUAGCGGUGAAAUGCAUAGAUAUCACGCAGAACCCCGAUUGCGAAGGCAGCCUACCGGCGCCCUACUGACGCUGAGGCACGAAAGUGCGGGGAGCGAACAGGAUUAGAUACCCCAGUAGUC